UGUCGUUGGCCUAGGUCACGACUCGAGUUAGAGUUCGAUCGUCGCUAGGACGAACGCUGGCGGCGUGCUUAACACAUGCAAGUCGAACGGAAGUUACGAGGAAGCUUGCGAAUUGAACUUAGUGGCGGACGGGUGAGUAACGCGUGGAUAACCUGCCUUAAUGACCGGGAUAACACCGGGAAACUGGUGCUAAUACGGGAUACGCUCAAGUGAACACAUGUUUGUUUGAGGAAAAGGAGCAAUCCGCAUUAAGAUGGGUCCGCGUCCCAUUAGCUAGUUGGAGGUGUAAGAGACCCCCCAAGGCGACGAUGGGUAGCCGGCCUGAGAGGGUGAACGGCCACACUGGAACUGAGACACGGUCCAGACUCCUACGGGAGGCAGCAGUGGGGAAUCUUCCGCAAUGGGCGAAAGCCUGACGGAGCAACGCCGCGUGAAUGAUGAAGGCCUUCGGGUUGUAAAAUUCUGUCUUCAGGGAAGAAACAAAUGACGGUACCUGAGGAGGAAGCCCCGGCUAACUACGUGCCAGCAGCAGC
rnacentral:rRNA from 1 species